CAGGUUUUGACCCCUACAUUAGAAUCGAGCUGCGCUUUUUAUAUUAUUCACUAUCAAAUUAUAAAUGUAUGGUCUUGUCUUCAAACACCUCUUCUAGCUACUGUAAGCAUCAAACGGACUAAUGGUCGCGAUACAACGUUUUUUUUUUAAAGUUUGCUUUGAUAAAUAUUAUUAUAUUAGUCAAGUUGUUUAUCCCUUUCCCACCCUUAUAUCAAA
rnacentral:lncRNA from 1 species